AUAUUUGAAAAUAUGUUUCAGAACCAUUGAAAGGACACUGAACUAAGUAGCCACUGCAAAUUAUAUAUCCAUAAUCCGUAAGAUUGCUAGUUAAAUGUUUUGUCGUCAAAAUUCACGGGAAUGCUUAUCAAAGUGUACUUAUGAGGAUUGUAAAACAUAUUUUCAAAAACUACACUAUUUGUGUGUUUCAAACGACAUUCUAUGGCAUUUUGAGGUUCAUAUAAUGAAAAGCAAAAUGAUUAUUAAUUUUUUUCAUUGAAAUUUGAUAUUUAAUUGUUGGGAAAUGAAAUCAAGAUAUCAUUGGGGCAUUUUGAGGCUUAAAUCAAUGAAAAUUGACCUUUAAAUACCUCGUAAUGAAGCAGCGGUGUAAUAGAUUAAUCUAAUUUCUAAGCUAACUCCCAAUUAUCGUUGAGUAGGUUUUUGAAAAUUUAACUUUUUAAAACGCUUUUAGUCAUGUAAUUUUUUUGUGGGCUAGAAUAUCAUAAAGCGAUAAAACCCAAGUUGUUUCUUACGGUUUUUUGACCUAGAAAAUGCCAAGAUGUGUUUGGGUAUUUCUGUCAAAACUUUGAAGGGAAUUUUCACACUGUGUCCAGAUAUUAUAGGUUUAAAUAUAGUGCCUAUAUAGACUAAUUAUGAUUGAGUUUUCCUUGACUAUUGCUUGAUUUGGAAGGCCAAAAAUAGCCUUUCCAGCGCUCCAGAACGAGCCGGUGCCUAUGUGUCUUAAAAGUUUAUUUGCACAUUUUUGUGCAAAUUCAGGUAACUUUUGAUACAAAUUUGCUGUCAAUAACUACCAAAUUUAUUUGCAACUUUUGGCUGGCCCUAGUUAUUAUAUUGGAACAGGCAAAGAUCCCAUCUGGCCAGGUUUCAUGAAGUGUCCGACUUCCCGUGCGAAUUUUCUUUUAAUGACUAUUUGAACAAUUUCUCUUGUGAUUGUGGAUAGAGCAUUUUCCUUGUCGGGCUUGAGAACCUCCUCCCUUUUCAAGAACCAGUCUAAAAGUGGACCGAAUUUGUGAGGGCGGAAAUCAGGGACCAAAGUGAUUGACGAGAUGCCCAAGAGCGGACGGAUGAUUCAGAUGGCCCUGCUUCAGAAGGAAAAACGAACAUCAUGAAACCAGCAUAAUAUGAACAUGACAAUAAUAGCCAUCAACUACACGAUGAGCUCUAUCUCGUCCCCUGUUGGAUGGAGUAAAUAAGUCUAUUUGCCAAAACCACUAUUACAAUAAGGAGUUUAGAUCAAUGCCAUUAAUGGUAAGUCACUUUUACAUCAUCUCUUUAUGAAGUGGUUUGCCCAAAGGUUGCAUUAUGUAAAGCCCAUGUAUCGGAUCCACAGUGAGCCAAAGAUUCAAAUUGAAUGCAGUCACAUUUCAUUACUACUUUACUUUACCCACCGCCAUGCAGAAUGUGGGCACGAAUUCAGACAAGAGUACGUUUUGGAUGCGAACCUUCUUUACAAUAACUCUAACUCUAACUCUAACCAAUUUCUCACCUUCUUGUCCACUCUUCAGUGAUUUUUUGCUGUUACAAUUUCAAUCUUUCCUAAGCUGCCCACCCACACCACUCAUGUUCUUGUUUUACUUUUCGUUUCUGUAUUGCUCAUAGAGAAGUGUGUUCUUGGUGUCCAAUCACAGCCAUAUGUGGUACGAUUAUGGCAACACGACCAUGAGGUACUUGGUUGGGAUUAUUACAGAUGGAGUCUCAGUUGAUCUUGGUCCUUAAACGCUACGGAAAUGAAGUCAAUGGUGUCUGUUUUGUUUGUCGCAUUGAUUUUGGGACGCAUUAGUGGGGAACCGUUGAGCAAUAAGGGUGGAGGGUACUCGUAUCCAAAAGACGGAAAUGACUACAAAAAUCGUCCAAAAUCGUACAAA